rnacentral:rRNA from 1 species
CUAGUUGGUAGGGGAAGAGCCUACCAAGGCGACGAUCGGUAGCUGGUCUGAGAGGACGAUCAGCCACACUGGGAUUGAGAACGGCCCAGACUCCUACGGGGGGCAGCAGUGAGGAAUUUUCCGCAAUGGGGGCAACCCUGACGGAGCAACGCCGCGUGCAGGAGGACGCUUUUCGGAGUGUAAACUGCUUUUCUGUGGGACGAGGAUGGACGGUACCACAGGAAGAAGCCCCGGCUAACUACGUGCCAGCAGCCGCGGUAAUACGUAGGGGGCGAGCGUUGUCCGGAGUUACUGGGCGUAAAGGGCAUGCAGGCGGUCGGACGCGUUUUGUGUGACAGCGGAUGGCUUAACUAUCCGAGGAUACGAAAGACGGUUUGACUUGAGGGCUCGAGAGGGACACGGAAUUCCGGGUGGAGUGGUGAAAUGCGUAGAGAUCCGGAGGAACACCAAAGGCGAAGGCAGUGUCCUGGCGAGUACCUGACGCUGAGGUGCGAAAGCUAGGGGAGCGAACGGGAUUAGAUACCCCGGUAGUCCUAGCCGUAAACGAUGACCACCAGGUGUGGGAGGUAUCGACCCCUUCCGUGCCGGAGGAAACCCACUAAGUGGUCCGCCUGGGGAGUACGGUCGCAAGAUUAAAACUCAAAGGAAUUGACG